rnacentral:rRNA from 1 species
UACAGAGGUCUCAAGCGUUGUUCGGAUUCAUUGGGCGUAAAGGGCGCGUUAGGCGGCGGGGUAAGUCGGGUGUGAAAUCUCAGAGCUCAACUCGUGAAACCUGCACUCGAAUACUGCUCUGCUUGAGGACUGGAGAGGAGACUGGAAUUCACGGUGUAGCAGUGGAAAUGACGUAGAUAUCGGGAGGAACACCAGUGGCGAAGGCGACUACCUGGCCUGUUCUUGACGCUGAGGCGCGAAAGCUAGGGGAGCAAACGGG